rnacentral:misc_RNA from 1 species
GAAAUGCGAUAAGUAAUGUGAAUUGCAGAACUCAGUGAAUCAUCGAAUCUUUGAACGCACCUUGCGCUCCUUGGUAUUCCUUGGAGCAUGCCUGUUUGAGUAUCAUGAAAUCUUCAAAGUAAAUCUUUUGUUAACUCAAUUAGUUUCUACUUUGGUAUUGGAGGUCUUUGCAGCUUCACACCUGCUCCUCUUUGUUCAUUAGCUGGAUCUCAGUGUUAUGCUUGGUUCCACUCGGCGUGAUAAGUUAUCUAUCGCUGAGGACACUGUAAAAGGUGGCCAAGGUAAAUGCAGAUGAACCGCUUCUAAUAGUCCAUUGACUUGGACAAUACUUUUAUGAUCUGAUCUCAAAUCAGGUAGGACUACCCGCUGAACUUAAGC